rnacentral:rRNA from 1 species
AUUGAACGCUGGCGGCAGGCUUAACACAUGCAAGUCGAGCGGGGUGAUGGUGCUUGCACUAUCACUUAGCGGCGGACGGGUGAGUAAUGCUUAGGAAUCUGCCUAUUAGUGGGGGACAACAUCUCGAAAGGGAUGCUAAUACCGCAUACGUCCUACGGGAGAAAGCAGGGGAUCACUUGUGACCUUGCGCUAAUAGAUGAGCCUAAGUCGGAUUAGCUAGUUGGUGGGGUAAAGGCCUACCAAGGCGACGAUCUGUAGCGGGUCUGAGAGGAUGAUCCGCCAAACUGGGACUGGGACACGGCCCAGACUCCUACGGGAGGCAGCAGUGGGGAAUAUUGGACAAUGGGGGGAACCCUGAUCCAGCCAUGCCGCGUGUGUGAAGAAGGCCUUAUGGUUGUAAAGCACUUUAAGCGAGGAGGAGGCUCUUUUGGUUAAUACCCAAGAUGAGUGGACGGUACCGGAAGAAUAAGGACCGGCUAACUACGUGCCAGCCGCCGCCGUAA